GAUGAACGCUAGCGGGAGGCUUAACACAUGCAAGUCGAGGGGCAUCACGAGGUAGCAAUACUUUGGUGGCGACCGGCGCACGGGUGAGUAACACGUAUGCAACCUACCCUGUACAGGGGGAUAACCCGGAGAAAUUCGGACUAAUAUUCCAUAAUGAUAUUUUAGGGCAUCCUUUAAUAUUUAAAGCUUUGGCGGUACAGGAUGGGCAUGCGCAACAUUAGCUAGUUGGGAGGGUAACGGCCUACCAAGGCUAUGAUGUUUAGGGGACCUGAGAGGGUGAUCCCCCACACUGGUACUGAGACACGGACCAGACUCCUACGGGAGGCAGCAGUGAGGAAUAUUGGUCAAUGGGCGGAAGCCUGAACCAGCCAUCCCCGCGUGCAGGAAGACAGCCCUAUGGGUUGUAAACUGCUUUUCCAGUGGGCGAACCCCUCGUACGUGUACGGGAUUGACGGUACACUGGGAAUAAGCAUCGGCUAACUCCGUGCCAGCAGCCGCGGUAAUCACGAG
rnacentral:rRNA from 1 species